GCGGCGAGUGAAGCGGCAAAAGCUCAAAUUUGAAAUCUGGCGCCUUCGGUGUCCGAGUUGUAAUUUGAAGAUUGUAACCUUGGGGUUGGCUCUUGUCUAUGUUUCUUGGAACAGGACGUCACAGAGGGUGAGAAUCCCGUGCGAUGAGAUGCCCAAUUCUAUGUAAGGUGCUUUCGAAGAGUCGAGUUGUUUGGGAAUGCAGCUCUAAGUGGGUGGUAAAUUCCAUCUAAAGCUAAAUAUUGGCGAGAGACCGAUAGCGAACAAGUACAGUGAUGGAAAGAUGAAAAGAACUUUGAAAAGAGAGUGAAAAAGUACGUGAAAUUGUUGAAAGGGAAGGGUUUGAGAUCAGACUCGAUAUUUUGUGAGCCUUGCCUUCGUGGCGGGGUGACCCGCAGCUUAUCGGGCCAGCAUCGGUUUGGGCGGUAGGAUAAUGGCGUAGGAAUGUGACUUUACUUCGGUGAAGUGUUAUAGCCUGCGUUGAUGCUGCCUGCCUAGACCGAGGACUGCGAUUUUAUCAAGGAUGCUGGCAUAAUGAUCCCAAACCGC
rnacentral:rRNA from 1 species